AUUCUUCUAACGCAUCAUUAAUCUCCAAUCUUCUAACACAUCAUUAAUCUCCAACUAGAUCAUCAUCAUUAAUCUGCAAAUUCAAUCAAAACACAGAUAAUAUUAAAUGCACAAUGAGCCAAAUGAAAAAUGAAAGAAGCUUAAUAGUGUAAGUUCAGCCAGUUGUGACAGUUACCUGCGGAUAUGAUGAGUGCUUGACCAGUAUAAUUCAGGUUUGCCUUUGUCCAAGGAAUUUUUCAAACUGCAACCAACUGAUAACAAAAAGUAAAUGAGAAAAUGACAGAAAAAAGCCAGACCUGCCAUUUGAUGCAUGAAUAGAGCAGAUAUGAACUAAACAGGAAAUUCUGAAACCAUAUAAUUUGCCACCAUGGCCAUAACAAAUGAAAUAUCUUUGGCAGCCGGAUAGAUUUUCAAAUCAAGUGAAACUUAAGAUGAAUAACACAGGACAGAAGAUUAGGUAAUAGAAGACAGGGCCACAGAACAGAACACCAGGGAUCUGUAACAUUGAGGUCCUUUCCUAAAAAUAUACUCUUCAAUUAGGCACAACAAUAAGCAUCAAGCACAUACCAAAAAAAGAAAAAUAAACACUAUUCAGAACAUGGUUGGGUCUCCUCUUCAUCAUCAUUAUCAGUCACUUCUCCAUUUAUUUCUUCCCCAUUCAUCACUUUAUCUUUAGGAAUCUCACCUAAUUUAAAAAAAAAAAAACUUGUAAAAUAUAAAAAAAAAAACAAAUACUAUCAAAAUCAAAUAAGUGCAUAAGUGAGCUGAAUUUGAUACCUUUUAAUUGAGCCCAUAUCCAAUUCUGAGUACACAUUAAGGCCUCUACUGUACUCGGAUGAAGUCUACUACGAUGUGGGCUUUAUCAAAUGCAUCUUUUUUCUUGUAGACCUUAGAUGCUUGACUAGGGCUAGAAGCUGGAGCUGGAGCUGAUUCUUGUAUCUGUUUGGGACACCUAUCAAUAUGGUUUAACAAAUGUGAAGUUCCACUUGAUUGCUGUCCAGCAAAACCUUUGCCACAAUGAUUACACACUGCCUUCAUUUCUCCAUUAAUUGUUCUCCUUGUGAAAUGGUCCCAAGCUCUAGAUGCUUGUCUCAAUGAGCUUCUAGGUUGUCCUUCCGAGUCUCGUUUUGUACCUCCACUAAUUGAAUGAGUUUGUGGAUUUUCAGCAUUAACAUUACUUGAGGCUUGAGGGUUUAAUUGAACAGCAGGAUCAGAAUCAAAAUCAGACAUAAUUAACCUGAAAAAAGACAUUACAGAGCAAUUAUUAACAAUCCCUAAACUUCCAGAACUAGCUAGCUCGUUUGUUUGGAAGUAGUAGUAGUGCUUAACAUGAACCAUAUAGAGAUCAAUUAGAUGAUAAUCUAACUUCCAGCAUCCGUCAAUAUUUUAUUUCACAAUGGGAGGGCCACAUUUCCACAAAUGGCAACACCCAAUAGCAAAUGGAGCCUCAACUGAUUUCGGCCUCUAGAAGCUGAAAAAGUUUUGUUGGAAAAUUCGACUAUCAGAUUUCAAAUGAUUAUGUGAAAGGCCAUAUAUUAUAUAUACUAGCAGAUUCUUUGAAGAAAGUAACCACUGCAUAUUGAAACUCUUCCAAUUCCUCUCUCUCUCUCUCUCUCUCUGUACACACACACACACACACACACACAGAGCCAUGUAAACAAAAAUAAGAAAAAUAAUGGAAGCCAUAAAGGCAUAAGAUUUUAGGCUUGUAAAAGCUUAUUUCAUGUUUAAUCAUGGAGCCAAAUUCAUAAACUAAAUUAAACCCCAUCCAGCAAUUAAUCAAAAUCUAGAUUUGUGACUGACAAAAGGUGAAGAAAAUAUUUGCAUAAUUUUAGUAAAAUCACCAGAAAUACGGUGAAAAUGCUGGGUACUGUGAAGAUCAAUCAAAGCCAAAUAUAUAUUAAACGGCUUAUAAGCUUCAGCAAUCAAAACUUACCUUGCGCGGGAGACAACGAACAGGCGGACGGACGACGGUGGUGGCAGCGACGACAGAGACGAUGGUAGCUGGAACGAGGCAGAAAAACGCUCAAGAACAGCUGGAAGCUGCAGUUACGGCUGAUCAACCAUUGGUACAGCGCCGGCACACCUAAACGGAACCCCCGGAAAGCGGCGUCGGAGUCGGGGAAGAGCGUCGGUAAGCAAAGACCGGCCGGCGAGCGAUGUGAUAAUCUUAGGUUUUGCUAUCCAGACAUUUGUUUUUGCUUAUUUCAUUUUAGUUUUACGAUUUUAAUUUUUUAAUUUCAAAUAAGAUA
rnacentral:lncRNA from 1 species